GAUGAACGCUGGCGGCGUGCCUAAUACAUGCAAGUCGAGCGAACGGACGAGAAGCUUGCUUCUCUGAUGUUAGCGGCGGACGGGUGAGUAACACGUGGAUAACCUACCUAUAAGACUGGGAUAACUUCGGGAAACCGGAGCUAAUACCGGAUAAUAUUUUGAACCGCAUGGUUCAAAAGUGAAAGACGGUCUUGCUGUCACUUCUAGAUGGAUCCGCGCUGCAUUAGCUAGUUGGUAAGGUAACGGCUUACCAAGGCAACGAUGCAUAGCCGACCUGAGAGGGUGAUCGGCCACACUGGAACUGAGACACGGUCCAGACUCCUACGGGAGGCAGCAGUAGGGAAUCUUCCGCAAUGGGCGAAAGCCUGACGGAGCAACGCCGCGUGAGUGAUGAAGGUCUUCGGAUCGUAAAACUCUGUUAUUAGGGAAGAACAUACGUGUAAGUAACUGUGCACAUCUUGACGGUACCUAAUCAGAAAGCCACGGCUAACUACGUG
rnacentral:rRNA from 1 species